GGUUAAGCGACUAAGCGUACACGGUGGAUGCCCUGGCAGUCAGAGGCGAUGAAGGACGUGCUAAUCUGCGAUAAGCGUCGGUAAGGUGAUAUGAACCGUUAUAACCGGCGAUUUCCGAAUGGGGAAACCCAGUGUGUUUCGACACACUAUCAUUAACUGAAUCCAUAGGUUAAUGAGGCGAACCGGGGGAACUGAAACAUCUAAGUACCCCGAGGAAAAGAAAUCAACCGAGAUUCCCCCAGUAGCGGCGAGCGAACGGGGAGGAGCCCAGAGCCUGAAUCAGUGUGUGUGUUAGUGGAAGCGUCUGGAAAGGCGCGCGAUACAGGGUGACAGCCCCGUACACAAAAAUGCACAUGCUGUGAGCUCGAUGAGUAGGGCGGGACACGUGGUAUCCUGUCUGAAUAUGGGGGGACCAUCCUCCAAGGCUAAAUACUCCUGACUGACCGAUAGUGAACCAGUACCGUGAGGGAAAGGCGAAAAGAACCCCGGCGAGGGGAGUGAAAAAGAACCUGAAACCGUGUACGUACAAGCAGUGGGAGCAUGCUUAGGCGUGUGACUGCGUACCUUUUGUAUAAUGGGUCAGCGACUUAUAUUCUGUAGCAAGGUUAACCGAAUAGGGGAGCCGAAGGGAAACCGAGUCUUAACUGGGCGUUAAGUUGCAGGGUAUAGACCCGAAACCCGGUGAUCUAGCCAUGGGCAGGUUGAAGGUUGGGUAACACUAACUGGAGGACCGAACCGACUAAUGUUGAAAAAUUAGCGGAUGACUUGUGGCUGGGGGUGAAAGGCCAAUCAAACCGGGAGAUAGCUGGUUCUCCCCGAAAGCUAUUUAGGUAGCGCCUCGUGA
rnacentral:rRNA from 1 species